GUUGUGGAAUGUAGAGUGGUUAGCUUUCUUUUCAAGAAUGUAUUUCCAUACUUCUUUUGGGUUUCUAGAAAAGAAGGUACAUUUCCUGGAUUUGAGCUUUAGCCACAGAGAGUAUCUGGGACCAGAAACACAGGAUCUCUAUUAAAAGAACACGAAACGUCACUUCCACACGACCUGCAAUUUCUAGAAUGGAGAGAAAGCUUCAGUAAACAUUCAGUAAUAGCAUGCAACAAAGGCAAGUAAAGGCUGUAAUAGAACACUGGCAUGGUGUUCUUAAAAGAAUAAUAUUAUUUGUCCUGUAUUUAGCCAACAUAAAGAUGUAUUGCUCUUGUUUUCUCAUGGUGGGAGAUAUGAAGUUAUGAAGAGAUAGUUACUGGAUCAAAAUAGGAAGAAAUGAUGCCUGGCAGCUAGAAAAAAAUAUUCAUGUGCAUUGAUUACACAAUAAACAAGUAAAUACGAUGUCACUAUCAAUCACGCUUCGACUGAGUACAGCCAAACCAGGAUACUCAGGGACUUGGAAUCUGUUACCAGACUUUUAUUUAGUACAGACACAGCGCCAGGGGGCUGAGCAUUCUUCAGCAACACCCUUUGGACCCCUUUCUACACCAUCAUGCUGUAUGAACAGAAGGGUUGGGGACAUGAAGGAGCAGCUCAGCUAAGGUGACCCAGAUGGUUGGGCUCAGAGCUGGAAGAACACCGUGGUCUCCUGACUCCCAAUUCCUGCAUCUGUCCUGCUUGUAAGAGGCUUGCCAAGAACAGGAGCUUUUGUUUGUAGGUCUCUAGGGAUGGCCACCGCAGGGAGUGUGAUUUGAAGAUGGGGUCGGCGUGACGUUACAGGCCCCCUUUAGGCUCUGCUGGGUUGCAGGCCAGCUCUCUGGGCUGCCUUUCUGAUGGCUGCUAUUUUAAAGGCAGAUAGGAUGAAGUUAGCAACAACUUAUAUCAUUAAACUAGCAAGGGCUCAGGAGGGGCAGCCCCCUUCUGGGAAUGUGCCUAGCUCCUGCUCCAGAAUGGAGGAGUUUCUGUGGCUCUAGGAGAGCUGGCCUUCUAUGGAGUCUGAGCAAUGUACCGCACGGGGAGGAGAAGACGCUGCCAGAAGAUACCAGUGUCUCUAUCCAGAGACGUUUCCAGGACACCACGUUAAACAGCAGAGACACUAGAAGCCAAGGCACCCAUGGUCUGGUGUGGAUGUGUGCCUCCUGUGCCUCAGUGGCAUCAUCUGUACCAUGGGAGGUGUGUAAUGAGGGGUGAGAUCACGUCUGUGAGGGCACGUACGUAGUAGAUGCCCAGGAAGUGCCAGUCCCCAUCUCCUUCCCAGUUUCUUCAAAGCCUUCUGGAAGGCACUGGCAUAGCCCAGUCCUGAGGCACUGCUUUUUCUUUCAUGGAUGAUCAGGAGCUUCUGUGAUUUCUUCCCCCUCACUCUUCAUUUUGCCAAGAUGUUGCCCAUAGUAACCUCAGCAGUGGAGCGAGGAUUCUGCACUGUUCCACUGCCCUGGGGCUGCACAUCCACGUGAGCGGGGCCGACCCGUCCCAGAGCGCUUUGCCCUCAGAAGGCAGCAUCACCUGCAGGAGCAAUGCCAUGGACAGCUCUGGCUUGUCCUCCAGGGCCCUGGCAUGGUCAGUGAGAAAAUGCCUCUGGGGCAUGGGCUUCUCCCGUCAGUCAAGUUCAGAAGGCUUCCUGGGUGGCAAAAAUGACCUGGGCACCUGCACCUGGGCCUGGGCUGGACAUCAGUCCUUGGCAGAUGGGGAAGGUUGGCGACCAGCAAGGCACAGAAUAAGGACACACGGUCCCAGCAGACCCUUGGGAUGACCUUGACCACUUGGACCUUGGAGAGAGAGUGGAGAGGAGAAGAACAGAGGGCAAAGCCACAUGGAAGGGAGGGUGCAGGUGGCUGGUGGCUGGAACUCCUAGAGGCUGAGCAGUGGGGGUUGCAGGAGAGAACUGGCUCCUUCUAGACAGGGGAAUAUCGUGGUUAGGGUUCUGGGAUCAGAUUCAAUCUGGGCUCUGUCACCUACUAGCUGGGGAACAAAUAAUUGCGCCUUGGAUCAUCACCUAUAAAACUAAUAAUAGCUACUAAUCAGAUUGAUGUAAGUGCCAGGAUUAAAUGAGAGAGUCUACAAGCUAUAAAAAGUGCUAUGUGGCAGCUGCCUUUAAACU